GCUGGCUUGAAGCUGCCAGCAUUCAUUUCAUUCCACAGCUUGGGCCGUGGCAUGGCGGCCUCACCUCAGCAGCUGCUGUAGAUAGACUUCAUUUUCAGAACACAGCUUCCUGCUUUGCAUACUCUCCUCCAGAGGUGGGAGUAUGGAGACUCCUAGCACAGGUUCUUUUCUGUCUCUGACAUAGGAGGGAUAGACCAAGAGGGAGUAAGCCCGGUUCAGGAAAAGCAGGUGAUUCAUCGAGUCCCCUGGGAAACGCAUUGUAGGCACUUCAUGCCGGGACAGCUAAAGCCAAGUUUACAGCAGAGCCUGGCACAGUACCCGAACCACAAGGAGAUAGCAGCUACUGUGAUUGGACACGUUCAAGGUCUGGAGAAGGGAAGAGUGACGAGACCCUCCCCACACCAAGCUUUCUCCAUCUCCAAAGCCUAUGUCACCUCUGUCUUC
rnacentral:lncRNA from 1 species